ACGGGUGCGUAACACGUAUGUAACCUACCUUAAUCAGGGGGAUAGCCUCUCGAAAGAGAGAUUAAGACCGCAUAACAUCAGCUUACAGCAUUGUAUACUGAUCAAAUAUUUAUAGGAUUAAGAUGGGCAUGCGGAACAUUAGCUAGUUGGUAAGGUAAAGGCUUACCAAGGCUACGAUGUUUAGGGGAUCUGAGAGGAUGACCCCCCACACUGGUACUGAGACACGGACCAGACUCCUACGGGAGGCAGCAGUAAGGAAUAUUGGUCAAUGGGCGGAAGCCUGAACCAGCCAUGCCGCGUGCAGGAAGACUGCCCUACGGGUUGUAAACUGCUUUUGUACCGGAAUAAACCUUGAUUCGUGAAUCAAGCUGAAUGUACGGUAAGAAUAAGGAUCGGCUAACUCCGUGCCAGCAGCCGCGGUAAUACGGAGGAUCCAAGCGUUAUCCGGAUUUAUUGGGUUUAAAGGGUGCGUAGGUGGCUUUUUAAGUCAGGGGUGAAAGACGGUAGCUUAACUAUCGCAGUGCCUUUGAUACUGAAGAGCUUGAAUGAACUAGAGGUAGGCGGAAUGUGACAAGUAGCGGU
rnacentral:rRNA from 1 species